UAAUCACACACAUACAAGGCCAGGUGGUGACGUUGGUGACUCCCAUAGUGGGCAGUUCUGCCCACUCAAGGGCAUCUCAGCCUGACAUCAAGCGCUGCAGGGUUGCAACCUCCUUGCUGGCCACACAUCACAAGUGUAUCUAAUGAUGCGCUUACUCUGUGCUUCCUGGGUACAGUUUCUCUGUGUCCCCAUAUGCAGUACUCCAGGAGACAAAAUGAGGACAGCAGGACAGAACCCCAUUAUUAUUAAUAUAGUGCCAAAAGAGGGGGCAGGGAGGCAACUGCCCCCCAGGCCGCCCACAUCCAUCAAAAGAAGGAAAAAUCGGAAUCCCCUACCUCUGGCUGGAGACUCGAUAUUUUUCAACUUACCUCACUCUCCCCGCAGUCAGUGGAGUCG